CUUUUAAAUGUUAUCUCUGGACCUGUCUCAGCCCACACAGAGGUCAGAGAGGAAGGUGGGGGCUGCUGGCAAGAGGGGGACCUGCCUUGUGGUUUGAGCCCAAAGCCGAUGGGGCUUCCCACCAGCAGCCCUAGCUUGGCAGCAUGGCACUGGAGGCAUGCCUCUUUGGAAACGUAUCGGAGCCCUGCCUAACUGUGUCUGCUCCUCCUCAACAUGCUUCCUUUUCCAUCUACAGUAUUUAGAAAGAUGAGAGACAACGCUGCGAAGAACACAAAGGCUUUUGCAAUUCCGUCUCUGGCUUCACAUUCAAAGCUGUUGCUAUCAGGGUUGGAUUUAGCAACUUGGCAUUCACUUCACAGGACCACCCCUGUUGGCGGCCAUCUGGAGUCUUUUGGAGAAUUUUUAAAGAGACAUUCAGUGAUUUGUCAAUUUCUUGCAAGAUUUAAUAGUCUAGGGCAAAGGUCCCCAAAGUGUGGUCUCUGGAGGUGCAGCAGUCAGUAUCUAGCAGAGCCUAGUAGAAGGCACAUUCUCAGCCCCCACCCAGGCCUCCUGAAUCAAAAAUCCUGGGAGGAGGGCCCAGCAAUCUCUGUUUAAGAAACAGUCCAGGGGAUUCUGACACACAGCCAAAUUGGAGAACCACUGCUGUAGGGCUCCUUGUUCCCCUUCUGCUGUUGCCAGUGUGCCUGGGCAACACUGAUUUGCUGUUGGUCAAAAGUUUCUGACUGGUGGCCCAAGGAAGCACUCACUUGCAAAAGAUGGCUGAGCCCACAGCUGGAGAGGCCCAAAUCAGAGAGGCAGGGAACCUGGAGGAAAGCCCUGCCUCACUUCCCCAGCCCCUCCCACUGCCAAAGUUUCAGAAAACUUGGAGGCUUGUCUAUUGAACAG
ensembl:lncRNA